rnacentral:rRNA from 1 species
CCGGCGACCGGCGCACGGGUGAGUAACACGUAUGGAACCUGCCCGCAGCAGGGGGAUAAAGCGGAAGAAAUUCCGUCUAAUACCGCGUAACAACGUUGGGAGGCAUCUCCCGAUGUUUAAAGAUUUAUCGGCUGCGGAUGGCCAUGCGGCGCAUUAGCUAGUCGGCGGGGUAACGGCCCACCGAGGCGACGAUGCGUAGGGGUUCUGAGAGGAAGGUCCCCCACACUGGUACUGAGACACGGACCAGACUCCUACGGGAGGCAGCAG